GAUGAAGAACGUAGCGAAAUGCGAUAAGUAAUGUGAAUUGCAGAAUUCAGUGAAUCAUCGAAUCUUUGAACGCACCUUGCGCCCUUUGGCAUUCCGAAGGGCAUGCCUGUUUGAGUAUCAUGAACACCUCAACUCUUCAUGGUUUUCCAUGAUGAGCUUGGACUUUGGGGGUCUUGCUGGCUUGCGGUCGGCUCCUCUCAAAUGAAUCAGCUUACCAGUGUUUGGUGGGCAUCACAGGUGUGAUAACUAUCUGCGCUUGUGGUUUUCCACCAAGUAACCUUCAGCAGUGGAGGUUCACUGGAGCUCACAGACGUCUCUCCUCAGUGAGGACAGCCCUUUGAAUGUUUGAUCUCAAAUCAGGUAGGACUACCCGCUGAACUUAAGCAUAUCAAUAAGCGGAGGA
rnacentral:misc_RNA from 1 species